rnacentral:rRNA from 1 species
UACGGAGGAUCCGAGCGUUAUCCGGAUUUAUUGGGUUUAAAGGGUGCGCAGGCGGUCUUUCAAGCCAGAAGUGAAAGGCUACGGCUCAACCGUAGUAAGCUUUUGGAACUGUAAGACUUGAGUGCAGGAGAGGAGAGUGGAAUUCCUAGUGUAGCGGUGAAAUGCGUAGAUAUUAGGAGGAACACCAGUGGCGAAGGCGGCCAACUGGGCUUUUACUGACGCUGAGGCUCGAAAGCGUGGGGAGCAAACAGGAUUAGAUACCCCGUAGUCCCUGAGCGGG